GAGUUUGAUCCUGGCUCAGGAUGAACGCUGGCGGCGUGCUUAACACAUGCAAGUCGAACGGGAAUGCCACGCUGAUGCGAUUUCGGUCAAAUCAUGUGGCAUUCGAGUGGCGGACGGGUGAGUAACGCGUGGGUAACCUGCCUUACACAGGGGGAUAACACCUGGAAACAGGUGCUAAUACCGCAUAAGCGCACAGGGCCGCAUGGCCCGGUGUGAAAAACUCCGGUGGUGUAAGAUGGACCCGCGUCUGAUUAGCUUGUUGGCGGGGUAGGGGCCCACCAAGGCGACGAUCAGUAGCCGGCCUGAGAGGGUGGACGGCCACAUUGGGACUGAGACACGGCCCAAACUCCUACGGGAGGCAGCAGUGGGGGAUAUUGGACAAUGGGGGAAACCCUGAUCCAGCGACGCCGCGUGAGUGAAGAAGUAUUUCGGUAUGUAAAGCUCUGUCAGCAGGGAAGAAAGAAAUGACGGUACCUGACCAAGAAGCCCCGACUAACUACGUGCCAGCAGCCGCGGUAAUA
rnacentral:rRNA from 1 species